rnacentral:rRNA from 1 species
UGGGGAAUAUUGCACAAUGGGCGAAAGCCUGAUGCAGCCAUACCGCGUGGGUGAAGAAGGCCUUAGGGUUGUAAAGCCCUUUCAGCAGGGAAGAAGGGUGCGAGGUUAAUACCCUCGUAUUUUGACGGUACCUGCAGAAGAAGCACCGGCUAACUCCGUGCCAGCAGCCGCGGUAAUACGGAGGGUGCAAGCGUUAAUCGGAAUUACUGGGCGUAAAGCGCGCGUAGGCGGUCUGGUCAGUCAGAUGUGAAAGCCCCGGGCUCAACCUGGGAAUUGCAUUUGAUACUGCCAGACUCGAGUGUGGUAGAGGGAAGUGGAAUUCCGAGUGUAGCGGUGAAAUGCGUAGAUAUUCGGAGGAACACCAGUGGCGAAGGCGACUUCCUGGACCAACACUGACGCUGAGGUGCGAAAGCGUGGGGAGCAAACAGG